rnacentral:rRNA from 1 species
UACGUAGGGGGCUAGCGUUGUCCGGAUUUAUUGGGCGUAAAGAGCGUGUAGGCGGCCAGGUAGGUCUGGUGUGAAGACUCGAGGCUUAACCUCGAGAUGUCAUCGGAAACCAUCUGGCUAGAGUCCGGAAGAGGAGAGUGGAAUUCCUGGUGUAGCGGUGAAAUGCGCAGAUAUCAGGAAGAACACCCGUGGCGAAGGCGGCUCUCUGGGACGGUACUGACGCUGAGGAACGAAAGCCAGGGUAGCGAACGGG